CAAGAAUUGUUAUUUCUAAUCAUUCUGCUGAUGAUAUAUUGUCACUUUGCCAAUCAAAUUGCAUAAUGUUUCAUUUAAUGUGAUUGUAGUUGGAAUAGUGCAUCGAUUUUUUGAAGGUUGAAAAUAAAUAUGAGACGAACAUUAACAAAUAAUGUAACCCUAUUUGUCUCUCUCUCAAAACCAAGGAAAUCCUUGUUCACCUUGCCAAAAUUCAAACCAUUUUUCCAAGGAUCGAACAUUUUGGUCCAUCCUAUUCACUUUUCCUCUAACGGAUCAUACAUCUGUACAUAUUUUUCCCAAAAAUUGUCACAAAUUCUAAUUUGUACCCGAGGACUAAUGUGGCAACUGUCCACAUUCCAGCACCGUGUAAUGUCACAUCCUCCACAUCCACGCAGUCGGUCUUCCUUGGUUCUCAUGUAGGCAUGGUUACUUGAAACCAAUUUAUGCUAUUCCCUCAUUUAAUUCCCAAUGGGUUGUUCUCC
rnacentral:lncRNA from 1 species